rnacentral:rRNA from 1 species
GACAGAGGGUGCGAACGUUGUUCGGAAUUACUGGGCGUAAAGCGCGUGUAGGCUGUUCGGAAAGUCGGGUGUGAAAGCCCUGGGCCCAACCUAGGAAGUGCACUCGAAACUCCCGAACUGGAGUCCCGGAGAGGAAGGCGGAAUUCUCGGUGUAGAGGUGAAAUUCGUAGAUAUCGAGAGGAACAUCGGUGGCGAAGGCGGCCUUCUGGACGGUGACUGACGCUGAGACGCGAAAGCGUGGGGAGCGAACAGG